GGACAAGUCCUCCCGUGGUGCACCUGUUACUUUCACAGUUCUCGUAGCUUCCAGCCUGUUCCCGUUGUAUUUACUGGGCCUGGUCUGCCAUUUACAUACAGCCCAGAAUCUCCAGCGUGGAAAGUCUGCACUGAGGCCCACUCCUUGGCCAGGUCGGCCCCAGCCACUUCCAGGCAAGAAGCUUCUGUGGGACUCCCCUCCAUCGGGCCUGAGCCCUGGUCCUUCGAGGGUCUCCAGGAGUCCUCUCCAAAGACUCCGUGUUCUCUUGGGAGUCAAGCUCCUCCACAACCCGAACCUGUCCUUCCCAGCCUGGCAAGUUCCAGCCAACGCUUGUCCAGUGGGGGCCACCCCCCUCCACCUUGCAAACUCAAGUCAGCCUCUGUGAUGGGGCUCGAUGCCUCCUUAAAGGCGGCCCGCCCAGCCUGGCAGUCUCAGUUUGCUCGCGCAGACGCACGCAAACACACACCCUCACACUCACCCCCACGGGAAACAAGGAAAUUCCCCAAGACUGAUAGAAGCGUGUCACGUGGACAGAGCCAAAGGUGGGACAAUUGGAGGACCCAAAAGAGAAACGAGCGUAACUGAUUGAAACACAUAAAAUAUGCAUUUAAGAAUCCGUUCAUUCUCGUUUCUGUUUCUGUCUCUGUGGAGAACCCUGGCCCAUACACGGGAUGAUGGAUGCCACUACUUUAGUAUAUACUUGAGAUGUUCCAGAAUAAAAAUUUAAAAAUUCCUUUCCCAUGAA